rnacentral:rRNA from 1 species
UCUACGGGUGGCAGCAGUGGGGGAUAUUGCACAAUGGGGGGAACCCUGAUGCAGCGACGCCGCGUGGGUGAAGAAGCGCCUCGGCGCGUAAAGCCCUGUCAGCAGGGAAGAAAAUGACGGUACCUGAAGACGAAGCCCCGGCUAACUACGGCCCAGCAUCCGCGGUAAUACGUAGGGGGCAAGCGUGAUCCGGAUGUACUGGGUGUAAAGGGGGCGCAGACGGCGAUGAAAGCCAGGAGUGAAAGCCCGGGGCACAACCCCGGGACUGCACUUGGAACUGCGUGGCUGGAGUGCAGGAGGGGCAGGCGGAAGUCCUGGUGUAGCGAUGAAAUGCGUAGAUAGCAGGAGGAACACCGGUGGCGAAGGCGGCCUGCUGGACUGCAACUGACGUUGAGGCCCGAAAGCGUGGGGAGCAAACAGGAUUAGAGACCCCUGUAGUC